AACGCGAAGAACCUUACCAACCUUUGACAUGUCCGGUAUGGUCGUCAGAGAUGACUUCCUUCCCGCAAGGGGCCGGAACACAGGUGCUGCAUGGCUGUCGUCAGCUCGUGUCGUGAGAUGUUGGGUUAAGUCCCGCAACGAGCGCAACCCUCGCCCUUAGUUGCCAUCAUUUAGUUGGGCACUCUAAGGGGACUGCCGGUGAUAAGCCGCGAGGAAGGUGGGGAUGACGUCAAGUCCUCAUGGCCCUUACAGGUUGGGCUACACACGUGCUACAAUGGCGGUGACAAUGGGACGCAAUGGAGCAAUCCUGCGCAAAUCUCAAAAAGCCGUCUCAGUUCGGAUUGUGCUCUGCAACUCGAGCACAUGAAGUUGGAAUCGCUAGUAAUCGCAGAUCAGCACGCUGCGGUGAAUACGUUCCCGGGCCUUGUACACACCGCUAGUC
rnacentral:rRNA from 1 species